GUCCAGCUGACGAGUCUCAAAUAGAGCAAAACGCGCGUCCUGGAU
rfam:Schistosoma curassoni strain Dakar, Senegal genome assembly, scaffold: SCTD_scaffold0002914